ACAGACCUGAGCAUGGCAGGACUACCCGCCGAACUUAAGCAUAUUACUCAGCGGAGGAAAAGAAAACAACCGUGAUUCCCUCAGUCAGCGGCGAGCGAAGAGGGACCGAACUCGUUGCCGAAUCGGGCCUCAAACGGCCUUGAGUUGUGGCAUAAACGAAGCUUUGUGGAUGGUGCGGGAGUGGCGAAAUUCAAGCGCAAAGCAAACCCAUUGCUGAACACAACCCUUCAUGUGAGUAUUGAGCCAAAGAAGGUGUUAGCCCAUUCUGCCAUGACCCCAGCGCCUCAUUAAGCGAACCAAGAGAGUAGCACUGUUUGGGAAUGCAGUGUCAAGUGGCAGGUAUGUGUCUGCCAAAGUUAAAUAUUGAGUAGGAAGACCGAUAGCGAA
rnacentral:rRNA from 1 species